GACGAACGCUGGCGGCGUGCUUAACACAUGCAAGUCGAACGGUAAGGCCCUUCGGGGUACACGAGUGGCGAACGGGUGAGUAACACGUGGGUGAUCUGCCCUGCACUUCGGGAUAAGCCUGGGAAACUGGGUCUAAUACCGGAUAGGACCACUGCCUGCAUGGGUGGUGGUGGAAAGCUUUUGCGGUGUGGGAUGGGCCCGCGGCCUAUCAGCUUGUUGGUGGGGUGAUGGCCUACCAAGGCGACGACGGGUAGCCGGCCUGGGAGGGGGACCGGCCACGCGGGGACUGAGGUACGGCCCAGAGUCCUACUGGAGGCAGCAGUGGGGAAUAUUGCACAAUGGGCGCAAGCCUGAUGCAGCGACGCCGCGUGAGGGAUGACGGCCUUCGGGUUGUAAACCUCUUUCAGCACCGACGAAGCGCAAGUGACGGUAGGUGCAGAAGAAGGACCGGCCAACUACGUGCCAGCCGCCGCCGUAA
rnacentral:rRNA from 1 species